rnacentral:rRNA from 1 species
UCGAGAAUCAUUCACAAUGGGGGAAACCCUGAUGGUGCGACGCCGCGUGGGGGAAGAAGGUCUUCGGAUUGUAAACCCCUGUCAUGUGGGAGCAAGGCGCAAGCUUGAUAGUACCACAAGAGGAAGAGACGGCUAACUCUGUGCCAGCAGCCGCGGUAAUACAGAGGUCUCAAGCGUUGUUCGGAAUCACUGGGCGUAAAGGGUACGUAGGCUGCAUCAUAAGUCGGGCGUGAAAGGCAGGGGCUCAACCCCUGGAGUGCGCUUGAUACUGUGAUGCUAGAGUCAUGGAGGGGGAACCGGAACUCUCGGUGUAGCAGUGAAAUGCGUAGAUAUCGAGAAGAACACUCGUGGCGAAGGCGGGUUCCUGGACAUGUACUGACGCUGAGGUACGAAGGCUAGGGGAGCGAAAG